rnacentral:misc_RNA from 1 species
CUAAAAUCAAUAUUAAAAUAGAAAUUGAACUCAAGAAGGAAAUGUCAUCUGUCUUGAUUGUGUUAUCCUUUGUAUUCCUAAUCCAUGUCAUACACGAACUUAUAAACUCAUGUUUUCCCAUCCAUGUGAGAGACAUUUUCAUCAUGGUAGUGGUAGAUUAUGUACUGCCAUUAUGACAUUGCACCAAAUCUUCAAACCUCUAACCCCAAAAAAUAUCAUAGCAUUCAAUAGAAAGAUUAAAAGCACUGAAAGCAAAACAACACCUCAAAUUGUCAAAGACUAAAUAACAAAGAUAAAGUAGUAAGCAAUGCAAUGUCGGAUUUUUAAUUCAAUUGCUGAGAAAAAGUAGUAGAUUUUUCAAAGAAUUUGAACAUCAGACAUAAUAAGAAUUAUUCUUUAUUAUUAUUUUUCCAGCGUUUUCUCAGAAACAAAAACAGACCGCAAAACAAUCCCAAUCCCAAAAAUUCAUAAACAGAUCCUAGAAAACCAGAAUCAUAAUAAUUAAACAGAAGACCAAUAAGCAGAAGAAAAGAACUAAUUACCAUUUGGCAGCUUUAAAGCCUUUGUUAAAGAAGGAAUUGAGCAUGGACAUGACACAGCUAAAUAGAGAAGGAAAGAACCAAAACAAUGAAGAAGAAGAAGAGCAUGAAAUCAGACAUGAAUGAGUAAAAAUCGUACAAUAGGAGAUAGGAAGCAAGGAGAAUAGAAUGAAAUCAGGGGAAAUAGUGCCACAUGUACUCACCUAACUUCACGGUGUACCAGAUAG